GAUUGCUUGAGCUUCCCCCUCCGCCCCCCGUCCUCCCGUUGUAUCUUCCCCGUAGGUGUGGCACCGCUCAUGGCUGGUGAACAAGCAGUAGAGAUCCAUCGCGCGUACACACGCACACCGAUCCGCGCGUGCACAGAGAGAUAUAACGUGUGUGCUUUUGUGUUUUCAUUCCUCUAUUCCUGCUGAAGUGUCUCAUCUUCUCCCCGUCGCAGAUGCCUAUUCAUCAAUAUGAAGGCUGGUCGUAUGAGCGGCUGCGGCAGCAACGCAACCGAGCCCACUUCUUGCUCGAGGAUCCGUACCGCUACGUGACGGUGCUGCUGAUAUCGAAGCCGGGCAGGCCAGAGGAGCUCAAGUGCAUCGAUAGUCCCUGCUACCACGCCGCUGGCCCAUUAGGCGAGGGUGACAUCGUGGAAAUCGAGGAUCUGCUCUGUCUGCGCUGCCCGUGGCACCGGUAUCUAGUGAACAUCGAGAACGGGGAAGAGAUUCUGCUCAAGGUGGACCCGGCCUCCGAGCAGGGCGCAGGAAUGGUCGGCCGCCACGCUGCCUUGCCCACAUACCCGAUGCACUUUGCCGAUCCACCCGCCGAGGGCGUCACGGUGGUACACGGAGAGAAGGUUCAGCGAGUGCACCGUGCGUGGCUUGAGGAAACCACGGGCAUCCUGUCCAUCGAGGUGGCGGAGGAGGCGGUCAUGCGCCAGCAUCCCGUUAAAUCUGACAAGCCGGCCGGCAACGUAAAGAAUGGCGGCAUCUGCAUGCAGAUCUUCGACAUUAAGUCACGGGGUCUCGACAAGUUGUGAACAUGUCUGUGUAUGCGUACGUGUGUGUUGGCGGGUGUGACGCCACUAACUUUUAUCCCCUGCCUCUCGCACUUCUCGGUGCAGGCGAAGGAGGGCACGCAGGGGGUGGGGUAUGAACAAAGAGGCACAGUUCAGAGUCUGAGGUUUCGAAAUAUUGUGGGCACACCACCGUUUCGGAUCCCCUUCCUCCUCGAGGGCUGUUAGUCUCGUCUCAGCAGGCGUGCAUCUGGAUUCGGUGCUGCUCUUCUCUCAUCUACUCCCCCACUCCCCCUGCUUCACUUCCCUCCCACUUCGCACCCUCACGAACCUCUCUCCUUCCACACUGUUGAAGGUGGGGAGAGGGUGAGGGGGUGGGGGGCGCUGCGCACAGUAGGUAGACUGAACCUUCUCUCCCUCUUGCGCUGCCUAGUUUCGCCUUUUUAGCUUAUCAUGUUGAUGAUCCACUGGAUGAAGGAUGUAGCAGAGGUACUGCUCGGCUGCUCUCACUAGCACGUUUGCCCUGUUCUGCGGGAAUC
rnacentral:misc_RNA from 1 species